rnacentral:rRNA from 1 species
AGAGUUUGAUCAUGGCUCAGAAUCAACGCUGGCGGCGCGCUUAACACAUGCAAGUCGAGCGAGAAAGGGAGCAAUCCUGAGUACAGCGGCGUACGGGUGAGUAACACGUGGAUGAUCUACCUCUUAGUGGGGAAUACCUCUGGGAAACCGGAGACAAUACCGCAUAAGCCUGAGAAGGGAAAGCCGAAAGGCGCUGGGAGAGGAGUCCGCGGCCGAUUAGCUAGUUGGUGGGGUAAGAGCUCACCAAGGCGACGAUCGGUAGCCGGCCUGAGAGGGCACACGGCCACACUGGCACUGAAAUACGGGCCAGACUCCUACGGGAGGCAGCAGUGGGGAAUCUUGCACAAUGGAGGCAACUCUGAUGCAGCGACGCCGCGUGAGCGAUGAAGCCCUUCGGGGUGUAAAGCUCUUUCGACGGGGACGAUAAUGACGGUACCCGGAGAAGAAGCUGCGGCUAACUACGUGCCAGCAGCCGCGGUAAUACGUAGGCAGCGAGCGUUGUUCGGAAUUACUGGGCGUAAAGAGUGUGUAGGCGGUGCUCUAAGUUCGGUGUGAAAUCUCCUGGCUUAACUGGGAGGGUGCGCCGGAAACUGGAGUGCUUGAGCGUGGGAGAGGAAAGCGGAAUUCCUGGUGUAGCGGUGAAAUGCGUAGAUAUCAGGAGGAACACCUGGUGUAGACGGCUUUCUGGACCAUGGCUGACGCUGAGACACGAAAGCGUGGGUAGCAAACAGGAUUAGAUACCCCAGUAGUCC